GGCGCCUCAAGUCUUCCUCACGCUCUUUAAAAAUCAAGUCCCGCUGAUCCUCCUGCACUAAGUCCAUCUUGUGCACUAGACAAAAGAUCUUUGCGUCGGGAGAGUUCUGAAGAAUUGCCUCCAAGCAUGACUGGUAGUAGUGCAUGUCCUUCUCCAGUUCGCGGCUUUCUACAUCGAAGACAUAGAUGAGGACUUCUACGUUGCGGAAGAUGUUGUCCCGCUGACUGGUGAAGUAGUUCUCCAUAAAGGUGUCCUGUCCUCCACAGUCCCAGAGGUUUAAUACCAGGUUUCCUAGAAAUCUAACAUGGGAGUGUUCCACAUCAAUUGUGGCACCCAGGCGUCGUGUGUCUCUGGCAAUGUAGUUUGCAAAGAUAAUGGACCUCAUGCUGGUCUUCCCAGACCCGCUUUUACCCAUCAGCAGCACCUUUUUCUUCAUGGCUGUGCUCGGCAUCACCUCCCUCUAUCCGCGCCGGGCACCUCCCAGGCCGGUUCGGCGAUGCCCGCGGGCGGCGGGAGCCGCGGGGGCGCGUCGCCGGGCUGCCCGCAGCGCUGAGCGGGUCCGAGCGCCCCGCGCUCCGGAGCAGGCCUCAAAGCCACGGCCUCGCGUGAGCCCGCUGCGCCGCUGGGAUCCCGCCCGCACUGGCCGCGGCCGCCCCGGCCCCCCCCCGCGGCGCUCACGAGACUCGGCGCUCGGCGGCCUCCGCCGGUCACGUGAGCGCUGCUCCCACCACGCCCCCCAAAAUCACGUGAUAGGGCCCGGCCAACGGCCGCAGGGGCGGGGCGAAAGGAAGGAAGAGGUGGAGCUGUUGCGCUCUGGCCGCCAUGCUGAGUUCUGGUGCCAGGGCCUGUGUGGAGGAGGGGCGGCAGCGCGGCCGGGCACAGCCUGCAGGCGGCCGAGUCGAUAGCGACCCCGCGGUGUUUACGGGGCGGCUCGACGGGGCUUCGGUGCAUCCCAGCACAGCGCUAUGCAGAAGGGCCAAACAGUGGCGCACAGCGAAUGUUUUGAGGCGGGCUGAGAAAAGUCUCAUCAGCGCCUCCCAUAUGGUCUAGCGGUUAGGAUUCCUGGUUUUCACCCAGGCGGCCCGGGUUCGACUCCCGGUAUGGGAAGGAAUUUCAUUUUUGCUCCCAUCGUUUCGGAGGCGUUCACACGGCAACGAACCUGGCGACCGGAGCCGCCCAGAACUGCCAGAGGUCCACAGCCAUGGCGGGCCGCGGCCCCCGCCAGCGUGAAGCGGCGGGUGGGGGUGAGGACGGAGCUCCCGGCGGGGCAGCGUGCGCCAGGUCACGUCUGCCAGCACGGCGCAGCCGCCGUUUGCACCCCUCGGCGAGAUCCCAACGCGCGGGCUGUGGGCAGAGACAGGCGGCGGUGCGCAGAGAACCCACUGAGAUGCAUCGAGAAUGCGACAUUAGUCUGUAGAACUAGCCUACACUGCAUUCCUUCGUACGUCAAUAGUCCUUCGCAGAGCGAGGGGAAAUUCCGCAGGAAAGCCAAGCCUGCCUGAUAAUGCCUUUACCGACGCCGCUUACAGACGAGCAGCACCCCCAGCGCCCAGCAACUGCCGCUCGGCACGCAGUAGCACGCAUGCGCACAGCCCGGCCGGCACACAGCGACAGAAGACGGCGCGAGACUUCACGCAUGCGCACCCGUACGUGUGACGUACUGCGCACGCGCCACCGCACCGCUGUGAAACAGCGCAGAUGCGCUCAGCGCAGCCUUGCGCCAGGCGGGAGAGCGCAGGGGUGAAACGACGCGUGCGCUCUCCCGCCUCGUAGAGCACGGCGGAGUGCGGGCGCUUUCCUCUCACGUCGCGCGACGUUACGCAUGCCCACAAGUGCCAACUGCCUCGGGAGCCGUGUGCGCGCGCACCGCCGCGAAGAGAGCCGGUACGGUUGCACACUGCCCUCUGCCGCCCGCACGCGCAUGCACAGCUAUGUGCAAUGCAUGGCGCAUGCGCACCGCUCUCUUCUGUCACGGGGAAGCGCGCGCACUUCCUGUUCCCAGCGCGGGGCAGCACGCACGUCUACACGCACCGCCCAGCGGGCCGAGACUUCGCGCGUGCGCGCCUCUAAGGCGAUUCAGUGCGCAUGCGCACAUCCUUCUCUCCAGGCCAGCACGCCCGCGCCUGCGCGCUCCUCACACGUUCCACCGCGCAGCUGUGCGCAUGCGCAGCGCUGACUCCUCCCGCUGGUUCCGCUCUCCAGCAGUCAUUUUAUUAGGGAAAAAGAAAGGAGGAAAAAAAAAAAAAACACGGAAAAAACAAAGCUGAAUACCACUCCAGCACAUCACAUCUCCCACAGCAGAGGGAAAUGGAUCAGUCAAUAAAUUGCUAUGGUAUUCAAUUGGUUUUGCUGUAGAAAUCAGUCAUGCAGCGCAGGCGAUGCUAUAUGGAGCCUGGUUAAAAUGUUCUCCUGAACAGAGCACAGCAGCUCCGUCCCAUGAAAUAAGUGAUACCUCAGCUCUUUUCAGUCUCUUUGGGCCAAAUCCUAUCAUGAGUGUAAAUCUAGACAGAGUCUGCUGGCCUCGUGCAACCCCUAUGUAUCCUUCUCUAACAAAGCAGCGAGCAGAAGCUGUCUGGUAGCCUUUGACAGGGAAUUAGCAUUCACAUCACCUCCUUACAGUUAGCUCUGAGAUAGCAGGGCACAUCCAACCCUCAAUAGUUGGCUAGCAAAAUGCAUCAAGAACAUAACAAACCUUUCAUGUCAUUUCUAGAAACUGCACCUCUCCUUCCUUCCCAGCAGGAGAGCACCGACCUGACAGCCUGACUUCAGUUUUACCUGUAAGACAGCAGAGCUGAAAGCUGGCUGACAAUGAAAGGUGUGCAGUGAGACACCCAGUGGCACCAAAUGAGCACAUCUGGCUCUUUCCAGCACCUUCCAAGAAGAUGCUGGGGCUAUUCCAAGGCACUGUAAGAGAGGAACAUAGAGUUAAGGUUUAACCCAGUGAGAAGAGACUUCUGUAUCUCCCUGCUUUACGUAUCAGUGACCACGCUGGAGCUCACUCCCCCCACCUUGCACAAGGAUCUCUAAUCUGGAAGUUCUUGUGCAGUCCUAAAGGGAAAAUGCAUUUAAUGUGUACAAAUGGUGAUAUAUUCAUAGAGCCUGCUGGCUUCAUUCUCCAGCAAAGAGAAAGUUCAAACUGCUUCAUCGGGGAAUGAAAAUUAUCACUGAGUGAGACACAAAUGAAGAACUGAGGAACGUAAUAAAACUCUAAACUAAAUCAAACAGAGAACUGCUUGAAGCCAGGCAGGAUGCAGGUUCCCAGGUCAGCACUGUGAGCUUGCUCCUGUUGAGCUCUGGUGCCCUGUGUAUCUUAUGCCUUACUCUCAUACUGCUGUUAUCUCAUAGGGCCAUAUUAAGUAACCUAUUUAGAGAGCCCUGGCUUUGCAGCAUGUUUAUUUUGUCCUUCUUUGCAUGUUUUCACUCUGUUUGUCCACAAUGACCAGCUAUUAGUGGUAAAAUUGUGCAUGACUAUGUCUGAGAGGAAAGAAGAAGA
rnacentral:tRNA from 1 species